rnacentral:rRNA from 1 species
UACGUAGGGUGCAAGCGUUGUCCGGAAUUAUUGGGCGUAAAGAGCUCGUAGGCGGUCUGUCGCGUCUGCUGUGAAAACUCAGGGCUUAACCCUGAGCUUGCAGUGGGUACGGGCAGACUAGAGUGCGGUAGGGGAGAGUGGAAUUCCUGGUGUAGCGGUGAAAUGCGCAGAUAUCAGGAAGAACACCCGUGGCGAAGGCGGCUCUCUGGGACGGUACUGGACGCUGAGACGCGAAAGCGUGGGGAGCGAACAGGG